GGGGGGGGGGGGGAAUCCCCGCUCCCCGCCCCUUACCUUUCACAACCAAGCCAUUCCUUAACGUACGGUGCAUGAGAAACAUUACCAACUGAGCAUCGUAUGACAGGCAAACAUUUCUGAAUAAACGCAGUACCCGAAAGGGACCGGGAUGCCAGAAGGAAUCUACAAGAAGUGCAGCAACAACAUGAAAAACAUGUCACCAGGAUCCAAGAGGGUUUAUCGGGGUCAAAACUUUUCUGCUUUUUCUGUUCUGCUUGGCUUCUAACAAAGAACGUUAUCGGUUCUAAAUAAUUUGUUCUUCCAGUUGCAAAAAUCUAAAGUAAGGAGAUUAUUCUUCAUUAGAAUUCACUUUUUCAAUUAAUUUCUACCCAGUUUUAUUAGAUUGCUCCAGUUAUCUUUGCAACUCAUUACUGUAGGCUGUUUCCAAACAGUGAUGUCUCUGAUAUGCACGAAGAAGUUCAAAAAUAGCAAUACUCUUUUGAAGACGCAACCAGAGAGAGACCAUCAGCUCACCUUGCUGCAAUCAGGAUCGAAAUGAAAAACAAAACCUUCGACUCUCUCUGCCCAUCAAGCUGCAAAUCAGCAACAUCUUAAGCUUUAAAGCAACAGCACAGCUUGUCAAUAUGAAUGGGAAACGCAUUAGGUCAGCGAUACCCAGGAACAGUGCUUCUGUGCAGAAGAUCUGCACGAGCAAAGGAAACCCGUGGUGAAGGAAAGCAGGUCCCUUCCGCUGUUUCCCUCCUCGAGCGCUUGGCCGUUCCUGCUGGCAGCGUAGACGGCCCAGGACUGUAUGCUGCGUGGGGUUUGGUUUGGCCCGUUUCCCGUAGAUUUUGCCCUAAAGAUGUCUUCGGCUCUGUUGAUGCGAAUCGCAGACGUGCCCGAAGGCAGCUCUUCCCGCCAGCCCUGGGAGCCCAGUACUCAAACACGUGAGCGUUCAACCCGCCGUGAAGCACCUGGGUCGUUUCGCAGCGCAGGGCCUGUCACGUGCAUCGUUCCUGGCACCAGGAAUACAGAGCAGCCACCGGUGAAAGCAACUGUAGGUUUUUCCCCCCCCGCAAAAUUACCGUGUGGCGGUUGUCAGAGCACCGUGCGCGCGUCCUCAGGUGCGGCAUCCCCUUCUCCGAAGCCUUCCCCAAGGCCCUGCGCGGGACCCAGGCUGCUGCUCACUCCUGCGCUUGGAGAAAGCGGCAGGCACACAAAAUGACUUUUUGCCUCCUUUUCAAUUUAAUAGCCUCUUGGUGCUACUCCAGUAAUUACACCAGUAUGUGUCUUUGUAAGCUUUUUUUAUUAUCCCCGGUAUUCCCCAUGGCAAACAACCAAGGAAAACGUCAAUUUUCUAAAAUCGCCCUGGCUUAAGCUGGCCUCUGGUGAUGUAACGUGGCCAUCCCUAAAGUGUAUAGUGUAUAACUAUAAUCAAAAUGGGAUUAUUUCUUGUUUCCAGAACAAUUUCUUCAGCAGUAGCGAGAAGGAGACUGUAAGAAAGAAACUAUAGCACUGAACUGCUAUUUUUUCUGUGAAUACCGGAAAGCAUUUUUUGAGGGUCUAUUAUAAAAAGUGUACUGGUAAAAUGCUUAUUUAACAACACUCUGUGUCUGCUACCUGGCUGCCGCCAGCAGAGAAAUACAUAUUCUCAGCCUUGAUGUUUCUACCAGUAGUUUGGCAUCAGCGAUGAGAACAGUAUUUUCAUUCCGACAGGUAGUUUUAGCAUUUAUCCACAAAUGAUGGACAAAGUGUUUUUGUGGUGAAAGAAAGGAGGAAGAGCAGUGUUACUGAAGAGUAAUUUUGCCCGGUUUUGAAAAUGUUCUGUGAGGUAAUGCUAUGGGGUUUUUCACUCUUCCCUUAAUAGAUGCUUGAAAUUACAGGAACACGCACUGCUAGAAAAGGUACUAAAGUUACUGCUAAGGAUUAACACCUAUCAAAGGGCUCCAGCUGUUUGAUUUCUUUGACAAAAAAUCUCAUUUCUCUCUUCUGGAGUAAACUUUUUUUUUUUUUUUAAAUGAGCAGAUAUCAAGCCGAUUAAAGCUGAUACAUAUGGACUGAACUUUGAAGCCCUAAGAGUUUAUCAUGACCAGAAGCAGUCUGCAGUAUUCUGUGGUACUGGUACAUUUUUAGUCAUUUUUGUUUUCCCUUUUAAUAAAUAGAUUGCUUCUGCACCUAUAUAGUGCUCCAAAUAAACCUGAUGAAAUGAA